ensembl:lncRNA
AUGCACAAAGCCUCACUUUUUCUUCCAGCCUUGGAAGACCUUCCAUGGAAGAACAAUGGCAAGACAAAAGCCAAUAUGAUUAGCCCAGGAUGCCUAGAGCCUUUGACAUCUGACCAAGCUCUAAGUACUUCACCACACCUACUUUGGCCUUCUAGUCUACUGGAGAAAGUCUUGGCAUACUUGGUCUAUUGGUUACUCUCAACCUGGUUUGUCCCAUCAGCCAAGAUGGUUUUACAGGAGCGUGGCCACUGUUCAUGCUACAUCUUCUUGGAGCCACAGUGAUAAUCCAGAAUUGGGAAUGGAGGAUGGAAACACAGGUGACUUGUCUGAACUAGUUGAGGGUAUAUAUGUUGAAAGAGGAGUCACUGACCAAAUGAUGGAUGAAACAAUUAUUAGCACCAGAGACAUGAUUCUGGGAUGCAACAUACUUGCUUUCUCCUGCCUGUCUUCUCUUCUCUCCAGGAAGCACUCAAGGUGCUCAUCCCUUUGCCCUUUUCUCUUCAUGACUUUGAACUGAUAUAUCUCUCAGUUACAGCUGGGGAUUCUCAGUCCUAGACUUUCUCUGAUGUUUGGGGUGGGCCAGCUCCCCACUCCCCCCGCCACACACCCUACAGAGCCUUCUGGGGGCACUGAAGGUAGUACUGUACAAUCUCUGCUUUCAGAACAUUCAUGGGAGCUGUAGCUUUGUCUAUCAGUGGGAGGCCGACAAACCUGAUGAGCUCUCCUGGCAAGGUUUGCUGUUAAGUGUUUGGAUAGCUAAGCAGCCUGCAGAGACUAGGGAUGGGUACUGUGCAGUUGCUAUGACCCUUACCCAGAACUAUGAAAAAUAUAAAAAUAUUUGGACUCUGGUUUGCAAAACAGCAGAGGUAUCUCUUGGCAUGGUGUAUGAGUGCAAUGAAUCACUGGGAGUCUAGAUGCCUAAUUAUUUUGUUCAAACAGCUUGUUGCUGACUGAUUAAAGAGGAUUUAUUAAAAUUUACUUAUGAAUAGUAUAGAGCCUUAUAAUAAGUCAUUGCAUGUUGAGAGAUUUAAGAAACCCAAUGUUGAAACAUUAUUUACAAGGUUUUUUUAUUGCAAACCUCUAUAACCUCUGACAAACUAACUUGUAUUUCUUUUGCUCCUAGAAGUUAUAAAAAACUAGGCACAUGUUCCUGGUGUAGUUACAAAGAGUACAGCUGUAACUUACUCUGAAAGAUUCAUUUUUUAAUUUUGCAUAGUAUAUGUUCUGAAACAUUUCCUAGAAAAACGGCAACCCAAUUUGACUACCUGUGGAAGGAGCUAUAUUAGAAAAACCACACAAAUGAUUCUUUGAAAAAUGUUACAGCCCCCAAAAUAUUUAUAGCAACUCUUUUUUUUGUGGUAAUAAAGAAUUGUAAAUUGAGGGGUUGUCCA